rnacentral:lncRNA from 1 species
GAUAAUCUGUGAGAAGACCAGAAGCGAGAAAGAAGUCCUCCACAAGAAGUUGGAAGACAUGGAUGAACUUUUGAAGAAGACGGCUACUUUACAGAGUUCCCUCUCAGAUGCAAAUGGUGAAUUGCAGGAACCGCAGGAAAAGGUGAGAGCACUGCAAGAGUCUUGCCAAAUUCUCAAUGGAGAAAUCUACUCUUGUCACUAAAAAAACUGCUUUGCUCUCUCAGUUGCAAAUUGUAAGUGAGAACAUGCAGAAACUCCUAGAGGGGGAUGAAGAAGACGGCUACUUUACAGAGUUCCCUCUCAGAUGCGAAUGGUGAAUUGCAUGGAUCGCAGGAAAAGGUGAUAGCACUGCAAGAGUCUUGUCAAAUUCUCAAUGGAGAGAAAUCUACUCUUGUCAUUG